AGGGCAACAGCCCAGAUCGUCAGCUAAGGUCCCUAAAUGUAAGUUAAGUGGUAAAGGAUGUGGGAUUGCACAGACAACCAGGAUGUUGGCUUAGAAGCAGCCACUCAUUCAAAGAGUGCGUAAUAGCUCACUGGUCGAGUGAUCCUGCGCCGAAGAUUUCCGGGGCUAAAACUUACUACCGAAGCUACGGCAUCAGUAAUGAUGGGUAGGGGAGCUUCCCAUACGGGUUGAAGCAUGACCGUAAGGACAUGUGGACAGUAUGGGAGUGAGAAUGUUGGCAUGAGUAGCGAGAUGUGGGUGAGAAUCCCACAGGCCGUAAACCCAAGGUUUCCAGGGGAAGGUUCGUCCGCCCUGGGUUAGUCGGGACCUAAGCUGAGGCCGAAAGGCGUAGGUGAUGGACAACAGGUUGAUAUUCCUGUACUACCGAUAACCGUUUGAGAGAAGGGAUGACACAGUAGGAUAAGCUAAGCACACUGUUGGUUAUGUGUGCCCAAGCAUUGAGGCAGUCAAAGUAGGCAAAUCCGCU
rnacentral:rRNA from 1 species